AGUGAGGUGAGCAGGGCUGGAGGAGGCCUCGUAGAGGCCCCGUCGUCUUGGGGUCAUUAUGCUCGCUAGAUCAUUAGGUCCUGAAGAGCAGGCACACGACACGGCACCCCCACGAUCUCGGAGCUGUGUGCUCCCUCCACCCCUCCCUCCACUCCCCAUAAAGGCUGAGCGUUUCCAUCCACCUCCUGCUUCCGAGGGUGGUCGUCUCAGCCUUGCCGUCUGUCACCAGAAGAUGGCACUGCAGCCAAGUCAUCAUGCUACGCUGCCACCAAUUCCAGCU
ensembl:lncRNA